rnacentral:rRNA from 1 species
UACCAGCACCCCGAGUGGUCGGGACGUUUUAUUGGGCCUAAAGCAUCCGUAGCCGGUUCUACAAGUCUUCCGUUAAAUCCACCUGCUUAACAGAUGGGCUGCGGAAGAUACUAUAAGACUAGGAGGCAGGAGAGGCAAGCGGUACUCAGUGGGUAGGGGUAAAAUCCGUUGAUCCAUUGAAGACCACCAGUGGCGAAGGCGGCUUGCCAGAAUGCGCUCGACGGUGAGGGAUGAAAGCUGGGGGGAGCAAACCGG